GAUGAACGCUGGCGGUGUGGAUAAGGCAUGCAAGUCGAGCGAGGCUUCGAGCCGAGCGGCAAACGAGCUAGUAACACAUUGGUACUUACCCCAAAGUCAGGCACAACUCGCCGAAAGGCGAGCUAAUUCCUGAUAGUCUCUUACGAGUAAAGCUUUCGCGCUUUGGGAGAGGCCUAUGUCCUAUCAGCUAGUUGGUGAGGUAAUGGCUUACCAAGGCUAUGACGGGUAGGGGGUGUGAGAGCAUGACCCCCAGCGAUGGAACUGAGACACGGUCCAUACUCCUACGGGAGGCCGCAGUCGAGAAUAUUCCGCAAUGGGCGAAAGCCUGACGGAGCGACACCGCGUGAAGGAUGAAGCCCUUAGGGGUGUAAACUUCUUUUGUAUGGGAGGAAGUAUGACUGUACCAUACGAAUAAGAGGUUGCUAACUCUG
rnacentral:rRNA from 1 species